GAGUUUGAUCCUGGCUCAGAUUGAACGCUGGCGGCAUGCCUUACACAUGCAAGUCGAACGGCAGCACGGGAGCUUGCUCCUGGUGGCGAGUGGCGAACGGGUGAGUAAUGCAUCGGGACGUAUCCUGGAGUGGGGGGAUAACGUAGCGAAAGUUACGCUAAUACCGCAUAUUCUGUGAGCAGGAAAGCGGGGGACCUUCGGGCCUCGCGCUCUUGGAGCGGCCGAUGUCGGAUUAGCUAGUUGGUGAGGUAAAGGCUCACCAAGGCGACGAUCCGUAGCAGGUCUGAGAGGAUGAUCUGCCACACUGGAACUGAGACACGGUCCAGACUCCUACGGGAGGCAGCAGUGGGGAAUUUUGGACAAUGGGGGCAACCCUGAUCCAGCCAUGCCGCGUGAGUGAAGAAGGCCUGG
rnacentral:rRNA from 1 species